AUAUGAUUGUCAAGCAUAGUGGUGUCGAAAGUAUAGAAUGUUUUGAUACAACAAAGCCGGUACUGCCAUUCAUAUGAUGACGCAUAACAUCAACUGAUUUCGUCAAUUUGUGUAAAAUUUUUCCUAAGGCAUUGACUGAAAAUAGUGGAAUAUUCGUAGUUAUAGAUCAACAGUGAGAAUUUUGGUUUUGAACAUUGUGAACAGAACAGUUUAUUGAAGAAUAAUGGAUCAACUGCGAACAUUUAAAUUUUACCUCGAUGGAAAUUUGAUAACACCACGUGAUUUGCACUACAACUUUAGAACUAAAGUGCUUACGUAUAAUAUCGAAAUCGAAAUUGGUUAUUUGGACAAAAAUGAUGGACGUUUUCACUUCACAGCUGACUUUCAUACAAACGUCAUUUGUGAUAUCGGACUAGAUAAAAAAAAGAAAAGUAUCGUAUCUAAUACGUUUUCAAAUAGCAUCUUAUUUGAUGGAUUCUCAGAUGCAGAUACGGGUAACGAACAGACCAAGUCAAUUUUUCUGAAAUCACUUCGAAAAAUAAAUGAAUUGACAGAUGAUCCAAAUCAAAUCAAACGUGCUGAAGAACAGAAUCCUGAAAUUCAUAUUGAUAUUUUUAAAUCUCAAAGUAAUCAGAUAUUCAAUAAACUAAAUUUAGGGACUUCUUCUAAUGGUAAUAAAAUAUUUUUAUUUGGCAAUUCGAGUUGUACAUUCGGAAGUACUUCUAAAACAUCCGAAGGUAUUUCAAAGCCUGUAUUUGUUGAGACAUCACAAGUUAAUACUUCUACAUGGAAAACAGUUGAUUGUACAAAAGAGGAGAAAAUAAUGACUGUAAAAGUCAUAAUUAUUAUUGUUGAGAAAGCUGAAGACAAAACAUUUAAACAAGAACGGUGAUAGACAGGAGGAAUAAUGAAGAUACUAUUUUUGUAGAGAAUCGAAUUCUCUGCGAAAAAGUAUGCGAGAGCACCUGUUUAUCUAAAUCAGGUCCAUUAUUUCGCCUCGGAAAGGCAUUGUCUCCAGCUAGUCUUCACAUAACAUCUUUUUUGAUGGAUUCUUUCAAGUAUAGAGAAUGGUAUAGUACAAAUCAAGUCGAUUUUCUUGAAAUCACUUCAGAAAAACCAGUUUUUAAAAAAAACUAAUAAACGAUCCAGCUUAAAUUUAAUGUGCCGAAAAAUAAAAUGCUGAGUUUCAUAUUAGUAUUUUCAAAUGCCAACGUAAUCAAACUGUACCAUCUAAUCAUCGUUAUAAAUUAAAAGGAAUCGCCAAUUUUAGCACACAAACAAGAUAUUUCAGAGGCUGUAUUUGUCAAAACACUACAAUUUAAUCCUAUGAAGUGGACAAAAAUCAGUGGCAAGAUAAUGAAAAAAAUUAUGAACAUGAAAUCGUUUUUACAAUUAUCGA